UUCAGGGAUGUUUGGGGGGGAAACGGCAAAACCUUGAUGUUUGUUAACAUUGCUCCGGAGCCCGACAGCUUUGGGGAAACUCUGAACUCAUUGAGGUUUGCCAGCAAGGUGCAGGCAGGAGAGGUUAUAAGAAUAAGCCGUAGCGCGGGAGUAGGCAUUUUCACGAUGGCACGGUACCGAGGAAGUAGUGGACAUCCUGAUGCGCUCUGACAGCGAGGAUCUCUCCUCUUCAUCUGCCGAGAGUGACUCUGAUUCCGGGGGUGACACGGAUGAUUCGUCUCUCGACACUGAUCACCAGGAGUCGUCCUCUGAUUUUUCUUCUGAAGAUGAGAACGAGGGGAGG